UUGCUUAUUGAAUUGGUUUGAGUUGGGUUUCUGUCACUGUGAAUGAGAGUCCUGACCAAUUUAAUGUGACUUUGGGCGAGCUGUUUCAUGUUUCUGAGUCUCAGCUUCCUCACUUAUAAAAAGGUUGGGGUCAGAUUAGAUAAGCAGUAGAUCCCUUUCCAGGAUUUUAACAUUUCAGAAUUCUAACACAUUUAAGGUCACUGAUCUGUGGAGCCCAAACAUUUAUGACUGUGGGCAAACUUGGUUCCCUGGAGCCACAUGCCACUCUUGGCCCCCAUUACCAGCAGCCCCUCUGACUGUCUAUUGCUCCCACCUCCUUUGGGGGGUUGGUUUUUCUGGUCGCAUGUUCAGAACUUGCUCCUGUUGGUAGAGUCACAUGCAUUGUCCUUCUAGUAUCUCCAGAUAUGUCCUCCAACAUGAUCCUUGUGGACACAUUUUUCUUCUUCCUGACCCCAGCUCUUAUUUGUCUUUUCCCCUUUCUUGUCCCAUGCCUCACUAAAGUCAUAUUUACUUAAUCUGCAGCAGACAUUUUUAGAUCUUUCAUGCCCUAUUGUGUGUCUAGACUGUUCUCCCUUUUACUGCCUCCUUCCAUGAUCCUCUGGGAUGGGUAGGAAUCUUACUUUAUCAACUCAGGUUAGAAAGCUACAUUAUUUUCUUUAAAUCAUCAUAGAGUCUGCCUCUGAGUCCCCAUUUGGCAGGGCUGGAGACAAAUUCAGUCUUCGUCAUUAUUAGGGAUACCUCCCUUCAUUCUAGAGUCAGGCAAAAGUCUUGGGGCUCUUAUACAGAGCAAAACAUUUGGAGGGGUCCCCCCAGUUCAGGGCAAGUUGGCUACUGUGGAUAUGCUCUUUUCCUAGCCCACAUGGCAACCCAGUAUCUGGUAGCUGCUGGACCACACUUGGGCAUGAAAAUGAUAAUAACAAUAACAGCAACAACAAUGUUUAUGGAAUGUUACUAAAGUGCCAGGGACUCCGUAGUGCUUUACAAAAAUAAUUUCAUAUGAGCCAACUGCUCUUUGGCCCAGAACAUACUUUUCCCAGAUAACUCACAGUUCUCCCUCAUCUCCUGUAAGUCUUUGCCAAAUAUUAUGUUCUCAGUGAGGCCUAUCCUGACCACCUGCCUCUGUGCCUCAUCCCCUACACUCGCCAUCCCUUUUCCCUGCUCUACUUUUGUUCCCAUAGCACAUUCUAGGCUAUAUGAUUUACAUACUAAUAGUGUUUUCUGUCUGCCUCCCCCCAGUAGAAUGUAAGCUCUAAAAGGGUAGGAUCUUUAUUUGUUUACUUCUAACUCUCAAGCCCCUAGAACAGUACCUAGCAUAUAGUUCAAUAAAUGCUUUGGGGCUUCCCUGGUGGCGCAGUGGUUGAGAGUCCGCCUGCCUAUGCAGGGGACACGGGUUCGUGCCCCGGUCCGGGAGGAUCCCACAUUCCGCGGAGCUGCUGGGCCCGUGAGCCAUGGCCGCUGAGCCUGCGCGUCCGGAGCCUGUGCGCCGCAACGGGAGAGGCCACAGCAGUGAGAGGCCCGCGUACCGCCAAAUAAAUAAAUAAAUAAAUAAAUGCUUUGGAAUAUGUGAUUUUAAUUUUCAUGGAUGAGGAAACUGAGGCACAUAAAGGGAAGCAGCUAUCCCAUGGCACAUAGCCAGCCAGUGGUAGAGCUUGAGUUUAAGCCCAGGCCACCUGAUUUCUUUUAACCACUUUGUGUGAAAUGGGUACCCCCAGACCCCCAUCUAGCCUCCUGAGGUGCAUCACUCCUCCCAGAGGCCCUGCUGUAUCCCUGGGGCAUUAAGAGAGUACAGUGUGGGUCCCAAUCCUCAAUGAACCCAUGAAUCUCCCUCCUCCUUCUGCUCACCCCCCAUUCCCUUCCCUAAACACUGCCCACUUCCAGAGUAAUAGAAUAUCCUCAAGGAGAUUAAAACUUUCAUUUAGGCCAGGAAAAGAGUUUAUCUUCUGGGAACACCACCUUUCCACUUAGCAAGUGCUCUUGAGGCUAAGAAAUAUAUGGAUUGGCCACUUUCUUGGAAUGAGGAGGUGGGGUAUCCAGAAGACAAAACAGAAUUAGCUUUGAGUGUGAGUGAGUGUGUUUGUAAUGAACAUGCCUUCUAUACCCUGAGCUCCCUUUCCUACACCACUGCAAGAUCGUCUCUUUUCUUCCUUUAAUUCCAGUUCCCAAGUCCAGCCAUGCUACAAAUACCUGCUGAAGCCCCUCUGAAUGGAACAGGCUUGCGCAAAGCCCACCUCCCAAGAGGACUGGAGGGAGUGGAGCUCUCAUGGCAAAUGUGAAAAAGGAUUGUCUUCCUAUUACUGGAGGAUUUCCCCCAGUGUUUCCUCAAUAAUUUCAGCUGCAGCAUUCAUUUAAAGCCUCCUGCAAAAAUGACUCCUCCACAUUUGAAAACCAAGGCUUGUGAACAUUCUGAGGAGAGAGAGGCAGAGCACCCCCUUCAUUCCAGCCCCCCAAAAAGACCCAGGCGCUCGUCUGCAGAGACAUCUGUGCCCGAGGACCAGGCUGAGGGGGACGCGUUUUCAUCCUUGAAUGUUUCCUGUCUUUCUAGUGACUUCCUAUCUCUCUGUGAUUGACAAGUAGCUUUAGAUGCUGGAGACUGACCAAAACCAAAUCCUGUGGUGAUCCUUUCACAGCUGGGCCCUUCCUGUUCCAUCUCGGAGUGGCAAGCAGGACCAGUGUGAUCAAAAAGGAGAAGGCUGGGCUUCCCUGGUGGUGCAGUGGUUGAGAGUCCGCCUGCCAAUGCAGGGGACGCGGGUUCGUGCCCUGGUCCGGGAAGAUCCCACAUGCCGCGGAGCGGCUGGGCACGUGAGCCAUGGCUGCUGGGCCUGCGCGUCUGGAGCCUGUGCUCCGCAACGGGAGAGGCCACAACAGUGAGAGGCCUGCGUACCGCAAAAAAAAAAAAAAAAAAAGAGAAGGCUGAAUGGAACAUGGCUCAAAGGAAGAAAAGGGAAGGGGAAGCAGCUCUGUUCCGAGGGCCCAGAGCUCCGAGUCCUCCAGGUACAGGCAUGGGAGAGCCAGACGCGCAGGAGAGGCUGGACAGAGCCCCCAAACACGGAGCAGAAAUGAAAAAAGAAUCAUCAGUAAGCAGACACAGAGUCAUUCCCAAGUGCCAUUUGGUCAGUCAUCUAAGAGCCAUUCAUUCAGCAAAUAGUUAUUGAGCACCUAAUAUGUACUAGGACUGUCCUAGAAUCCAUCAGUGAGGAGACAAACGUCCCUGUCUUCAUGAAGCUUACAUUUUACCAGGACCCUUUGGGGGCAGGGGAGAGAGAGAUUUCCCCUGGUCUCAGCUGGAGUGCCGGGAUGCUCUGAUUUCAGAUGGCCCUGUGAUCUAUGAAAAAGGGGGAUUAGUGAAAAAGACUCACAAAGCAGGAAACAGGAAGUCGUCACAAGCUUCAUAGCCUAGAACUUCUCUUUCAGGUGGAGCCCAGAGAAGAGUCUGCAAAUCUUCCAGCCCCAACUCCAGAGUCUCCUGGUGACUUUCGGGGGGCAGCAUCCACAUCACGUCCCACCAGCCACACCAUGGGCUGAGAAGACAGCGCCUCCACCAGAGGGCCUGGGCUCCCUUCCUGCGCAUCUGCAAACAGGGCGUGGGCUCUGGCCAAAGCCCCAAACCAGAAGGUGGAAACUUUUGCUGAGCACUGGGAGAGGCGGGGAGGUGUUGGUGUUUUAGAAACCAAACCUAUGUCCUUAGAAACACCGCAGAAGGGCUCGGCAGAGCAGCCGGGAGUUGGAUGGUGCUGCAGUGAAUCACAGAAACUCCAGGGAAGAAGAGGCCAUCAGAGAGGGGGGGCAGGCUCUUU